CACUCGGUUACCGGCUCAGCGCGCUCACUAACUGUUCUGAAAUGAGACACGGUCAUCAGCUCAUCGCUUUGAUUCUGAGCAAUCGGACUUUCGGGGCUGCGAGACGGCUGGUUUCAGGCCGGUAUGAGUGUUAUACAGUACUAGACAGAGCAAGAAAAGGAGAAUGAUGACCAGCACUGUUCCACAAGUCUUAGAGCUGUAUUCUUCUGGCACUACAUGAUAGAAUAGAACAAGAAAAGCACUGAGAAAAAACAAGUGCAGUGUAAAAGGAUUUCCUUGCUGCCAAGACACUGGGAAAUCAGGACUGAAGAUGAAGAUACCAAAUACACUUCAGCAUCCAGAUAAACACCCAGUAAAAGCUGUCACUUGGAUUAAGGCCAGAUCUUUGGAUCCUCGGUCAACUGCGUGAGCCAGAAAUAAAUAUCUCA